AGUUUGGCCACCGACUGGAAGACUAGUGAUUUUUUUGUUGUGCCACACAUGACAAACAAAAAAUCAUUGUCUCUCCUGCCGGUGCAUACU
rnacentral:pre_miRNA from 1 species